AUUGAACGCUGGCGGCAGGCCUAACACAUGCAAGUCGAACGGUAACAGGAAGCAGCUUGCUGCUUCGCUGACGAGUGGCGGACGGGUGAGUAAUGUCUGGGAAACUGCCUGAUGGAGGGGGAUAACUACUGGAAACGGUAGCUAAUACCGCAUAACGUCGCAAGACCAAAGAGGGGGACCUUCGGGCCUCUUGCCAUCGGAUGUGCCCAGAUGGGAUUAGCUAGUAGGUGGGGUAACGGCUCACCUAGGCGACGAUCCCUAGCUGGUCUGAGAGGAUGACCAGCCACACUGGAACUGAGACACGGUCCAGACUCCUACGGGAGGCAGCAGUGGGGAAUAUUGCACAAUGGGCGCAAGCCUGAUGCAGCCAUGCCGCGUGUAUGAAGAAGGCCUUCGGGUUGUAAAGUACUUUCAGCGGGGAGGAAGGGAAUAAAGUUAAUACCUUUGCUCAUUGACGUUACCCGCAGAAGAAGCACCGGCUAACUCCGUGCCAGCAGCCGCGGUAA
rnacentral:rRNA from 1 species